ACCUGGCUCAGCUUCCCCAGGGGCCCCUACCGCCACGGGGGGUACCCACCUGUCCGCGUCGCACCGGAGCAGGGCUCCCUGGCUCACUCCGGCUGCUGAAGUUUGCAUCUCUCUCUGUUUGAGUUUCCCUCCAAGUUUCACAUGGAGAGAGGGAGAGGAUCCUCCGUGGGAGCUCUCAGCAGGGCUCUGCGCCACAGGACUGGGAUGCCGGCAGGUAUGAGGUGGACUUUGUCCAGAAGCUGGAAGUUUUUCAUCACGAGAGUGGCCAAGCUGUGGGGCUGCCACUGACUGCCUGCCCAGGAGCAGGAGCAGCGCCAGGGCUGGAGCAUGUCCCCUCGCACUGCUGCUUGCAGCCUGUGCUCACACAAUAAAUAACUCGUGCGGAUCCUUUAAGUAA